GACGAACGCUGGCGGCGUGCUUAACACAUGCAAGUCGAACGAUGAACCAGGGCUUGCCCUGGGGAUUAGUGGCGAACGGGUGAGUAACACGUGGGCAACCUGCCCCAGACACCGGGAUAACCUCUCGAAAGAGUGGCUAAUACCGGAUACGACCACUUUGGGCAUCCAACGGUGGUGGACAGACUUCUGGUCUGGGAUGGGCCCGCGGCCUAUCAGCUUGUUGGCGGGGUAAUGGCCUACCAAGGCGACGACGGGUAGCCGGCCUGAGAGGGCGACCGGCCACACUGGGACUGAGACACGGCCCAGACUCCUACGGGAGGCAGCAGUGGGGAAUAUUGCGCAAUGGGCGAAAGCCUGACGCAGCGACGCCGCGUGAGGGACGAAGGUCUUCGGAUUGUAAACCUCUUUCAGCAGGGACGAAGCGAAAGUGACUGUACCUGCAGAAGAAGCACCGGCUAACUACGUGCCAGCAGCCGCCGUAAGAC
rnacentral:rRNA from 1 species